rnacentral:lncRNA from 1 species
AUCGAUUCCAGCCCUGGACCAGAUGGUCCACCUGAGGACGCCCAGAGACACCACGCUGGAGAAAGCGGUGGACUCCUGUCUCACAACCCCGGGGCUGAAGGAGGACAGGAGGCUGCUCAGCUUGAAGAUCGAAGACGGUCCUUCAGAUGCCUUCCCAGCAGACCUGCAGCUUGGUGAGCUUCCCGCCUCCGAGAAGAAAGUGCCGGAGCUGCAGCUCUGCAGAAAGGAGAAGCCAGGUGACUCAGGAAAACCCCCAGAAGGCCUCCCGUCCAGCGUGCAGCGCAAGGAGAGGACACGUGAGACGCCUCUGCUCGUGGACCCACUCCGGGACGUGGUCGAGCAGGUCUGUCGGAGAGAGAGGUUCCCGUGUUUUCUGGCAUUGGCCCCGAAGC